CAGCGGUCGCCACCGCUGCUACCCACGCCGUGCUGCCCAACCCCUCAUCCCCCUUCUCCCUCUGCCCCGCUACACCGGAGACGGCGGCUGGGAACCAAAAUGGUGGUGGUGUAGCGGAGGCGACAGUCGCCGCACACGGCCCUCUCCUUCCCAGGCUCUGACGGCUCCCUAGCUCCUAAAAUGCCCGAUUCGGUGCAACCUUAUCGCAAACGCCGUCAGCCCUCGCGCUUUCCAAGUACGUGCUGGGUGUGAGCCUCUCCUCCCCUCACGCGAGCAACAGUGAGCACAGAGGACCCGAGUCCCUCUACUUCCUCUUCAGGAAUCUCCUUACCUGCCGCCGCCACCGCCGCCGCCAAUUUUCUGUUUUCCAGGUUUCCCAAGGGAGAGAAAGAGCGGGAGGAGGAAAAUCAAUGACUGAAUGGCCACUCACUGAAGGUCUCAUAGAUGUUGGACAACGUUAAAAAAAAAAUCAGCCCUACCCACUAGAAUUUGACCAAUUAAGCUCACCAGAGUGAUGAGGUCCAGGAUGACUUUCGGGCAAAGAGAAGAGACUUGUGGGACUCCCAGCUGGGCAACAAUGUGGAAGACCAUCCAAUGUCUUUUAGAUAUUUGGUCAAUAUUUAUUUUAAGGGUAAUUAAAUGCUAUGUUAAGGAUGGUUGUGCUAUUAUUUUAUUUUUUUAUUUUUACUUUUUUUGUCUUUUUGCCUUUUCUAGGGCCAC